AUCCAAUUGACGAGUCCCAAACCGGACGAAACACGCAUCCUAGAU
rnacentral:hammerhead_ribozyme from 1 species